rnacentral:rRNA from 1 species
ACUCCUACGGGAGGCAGCAGUGAGGAAUAUUGGUCAAUGGGCGGAAGCCUGAACCAGCCAUGCCGCGUGCAGGAUGACGGCCCUACGGGUUGUAAACUGCUUUUCCCCGGGGCGAAUAACCCCCUCGCGAGGGGGGAUGCCGGUACCGGGGGAAUAAGGAUCGGCUAACUCCGUGCCAGCAGCCGCGGUAAUACGGAGGAUCCGAGCGUUAUCCGGAUUUACUGGGUUUAAAGGGUGCGUAGGCGGGUGGCUCAGUCGGCGGUGAAAUGCAGCGGCUCAACCGUUGCCCUGCCGUCGAAACUGGCCGCCUUGAAUUCGGUCGAGGCCGGCGGAAUGCGCGGUGUAGCGGUGAAAUGCUUAGAUAUCGCGCGGAACGCCGAUUGCGGAGGCAGCUGGCUGGACCGAGAUUGACGCUGAUGCACGACAGCGUGGGGAUCGAACAGGAUUAGAUACCCUGGUAGUC